rnacentral:rRNA from 1 species
GGCUGACAAGAGAACANGUUCACUGGGCGCAGCANCCUANCCGNGCGAAGNUAGCGNAAUCACUUGUUCUUUNAAUGAGGACUAGUAUGAACGGCAUCACGAAGGUUAUACUGUCUCCUUUUNCCANUCAGUGAAUCUAAUCUUCCCGUGAAGAAGCGGGAAUAAAAAUAUAAGACGAGAAGACCCUAUGGAGCUUAAAACAACACAGCACCUGCUAUAAAACACAAAAAUUUCAGAAUCCCUAAUUAUCCUGGCAGCAUGACUGUAAGUUUUUGGGUUGGGGUGACCACGGAGCAUAAUAUAACCUCCACGUUGAAAGAAUUUUAUUCUAAGCUAAAAAUUACACUUUUAAGCAUCAAUAAAUUGACAUCUAUUGANCCAAUACACUUGAACANCGAACCAAGUUACCCUAGGGAUAACAGCCCAAUCCACNCCUAGAGCUCCUAUCGACAAGUGGGNUUUCGACCUAGAUGCUCCANCUGGNUUNCCCANUGAUACA